rnacentral:rRNA from 1 species
CCUACGGGGGGCAGCAGUAGGGAAUUUUCGUCAAUGGGCGCAAGCCUGAACGAGCAAUGCCGCGUGAACGAGGAAGGUCUUCGGAUCGUAAAGUUCUGUUGAAGGGGAAGAAGAGCGGAGAGAGGAAAUGCUUUCUGAUUGAUAUUACCCUUCGAGGAAGUCACGGCUAACUACGUGCCAGCAGCCGCGGUAAUACGUAGGUGGCGAGCGUUAUCCGGAAUGAUGGGGCGUAAAGGGUGCGUAGGCGGCCUGCUAAGUCUGGAGUAAAAGGUACGGGCUCAACCGGUACAGGCCCUGGAAACUGGCGGGCUAGAGAGCGGGAGAGGGAGGUGGAAUUCCAUGUGUAGCGGUAAAAUGCGUAGAUAUAUGGAAGAACACCAGUGGCGAAGGCGGCCGCCUGGCCUGUUACUGACGCUGAGGCACGAAAGCGUGGGGAGCGAAUAGGAUUAGAUACCCGAGUAGUC